rnacentral:rRNA from 1 species
AGCAGCCGCGGUAAUUCCAGCUCCAAUAGCGUAUAUUAAAGUUGUUGCAGUUAAAAAAGCUCGUAGUUGAAUUUCGGGAUCAAUUUAUCGGUCGUGCCUACGGUAUGAACUGGUACAAUUGGUUUCUCCCUUCUGACGAAGCAUGAUGCCAUUAAUUUGGUGUCGUGGGGAAUCAGGACUGUUACUUUGAAAAAUUAGAGUGUUUAAAAGCAAGCAUUAGCUUGAAUACAUUAGCAUGGAAUAAUGAAAUAGGACGUUUGAUUCUAUUUUAUUGGUUUCUUAGGAUCGACGUAAUGAUUAAUAGGGAUAGUUGGGGGCAUUAGUAUUCAAUUGCCAGAGGUGAAAUUCU